rnacentral:rRNA from 1 species
GCGGGAACAGACGGCCCCGUAACACGGGCCGCCCCCGCCAGAGGACCCCCUAACUCUGUUUCUAUAAUGUUUCUUCUGAGUAAACAAGCAAAUAAAUUAAAACUUUCAACAACGGAUCUCUUGGCUCUGGCAUCGAUGAAGAACGCAGCGAAAUGCGAUAAGUAAUGUGAAUUGCAGAAUUCAGUGAAUCAUCGAAUCUUUGAACGCACAUUGCGCCCGCCAGUAUUCUGGCGGGCAUGCCUGUUCGAGCGUCAUUACAACCCUCAGGCCCCCGGGCCUGGCGUUGGGGAUCGGCGGAAGCCCCCUGCGGGCACAACGCCGUCCCCCAAAUACAGUGGCGGUCCCGCCGCAGCUUCCAUUGCGUAGUAGCUAACACCUCGCAACUGGAGAGCGGCGCGGCCACGCCGUAAAACACCCAACUUCUGAAUGUUGACCUCGAAUCAGGUAGGAAUACCCGCUGAACUUAAGCAUAUCAAUAAGCGGAGGAAAAGAAACCAACAGGGAUUGCCCCAGUAACGGCGAGUGAAGCGGCAACAGCUCAAAUUUGAAAUCUGGCUCUCGGGCCCGAGUUGUAAUUUGUAGAGGAUGCUUUUGGUGAGGUGCCUUCCGAGUUCCCUGGAACGGGACGCCAUAGAGGGUGAGAGCCCCGUCUGGUUGGACACCGAUCCUCUGUAAAGCUCCUUCGACGAGUCGAGUAGUUUGGGAAUGCUGCUCUAAAUGGGAGGUAUAUGUCUUCUAAAGCUAAAUACCGGCCAGAGACCGAUAGCGCACAAGUAGAGUGAUCGAAAGAUGAAAAGAACUUUGAAAAGAGAGUUAAAAAGUACGUGAAAUUGUUGAAAGGGAAGCGCUUGUGACCAGACUUGGGCUUGGUU